UUUGUUACUUCAAACCAAUCGGACUUCGGUCUGACAUCAAGUGAUAUUGAACAAUUUAGCUGAUCGCACGGUCUAAGAACCGGCGACAUAUCCUUCAAAUGUCUGCCUUAUCAACUUUCGAUGGUAGAUUAUGCGCCUACCAUGGUUGUAACGGGUAACGGAGAAUCAGGGUUUGAUUCCGGAGAGGGAGCCUGAGAAACGGCUACCACAUCCAAGGAAGGCAGCAGGCACGCAAAUUACCCACUCCCGGCACGGGGAGGUAGUGACGAAAAAUAACAAGCUGGUCUCAAUGAGUUCCAGCAUUGUAAUGGGAACAAUUUAAAUCUUUUAUCGAGGAUCUAUUGGAGGGCAAGUCUGGUGCCAGCAGCCGCGGUAAUUCCAGCUCCAAUAGCGUAUAUUAAAGUUGUUGCGGUCAAAAAGCUCGUAGUUGGAUCUAGGAUUAGGGCUACGGUCGUUCAGCUUGGACGUACUGUAUGCCCGACUCCUUUUCUCUAGUAUUCGAUUGUUGCUCUUAAAUGAGUGACUUUAGUUGCUGGAACUUUUACCUUGAAAAAAUUGAAGUGCUCAAAGCAGGUU
rnacentral:rRNA from 1 species